GAUGAACGCUAGCGGCAGGCUUAAUACAUGCAAGUCGAGGGGCAGCAUGAUUGUAGCAAUACAAUUGAUGGCGACCGGCAAACGGGUGCGGAACACGUACACAACCUUCCAAUAAGUGGGGAAUAGCCCAGAGAAAUUUGGAUUAAUACCCCGUAACAUAACGAUGUGGCAUCACAUUGUUAUUAUAGAUUUUUCGCUUAUUGAUGGGUGUGCGGCUGAUUAGAUAGUUGGCGGGGUAACGGCCCACCAAGUCUACGAUCAGUAGCUGAUGUGAGAGCAUGAUCAGCCACACGGGCACUGAGACACGGGCCCGACUCCUACGGGAGGCAGCAGUAGGGAAUAUUGGACAAUGGGCGAAAGCCUGAUCCAGCCAUGCCGCGUGUGUGAAGAAGGCCUUCGGGUUGUAAAGCACUUUAAGCGAGGAGGAAUGGCUGAGGGUUAAUAACCUUCAGCAGUGACGUUACUCGCAGAAUAAGCACCGGCUAACUCUGUGCCAGCAGCCGCCGUAAGAC
rnacentral:rRNA from 1 species